UACGUAGGGUCCGAGCGUUGUCCGGAAUUACUGGGCGUAAAGAGCUCGUAGGUGGUUUGUCGCGUUGUUCGUGAAAACUCACAGCUCAACUGUGGGCGUGCGGGCGAUACGGGCAGACUUGAGUACUGCAGGGGAGACUGGAAUUCCUGGUGUAGCGGUGGAAUGCGCAGAUAUCAGGAGGAACACCGGUGGCGAGGGCGGGUCUCUGGGCCGAUACUGACGCUGAGGAGCGAAAGCGUGGGGAGCGAACAGG
rnacentral:rRNA from 1 species